rnacentral:rRNA from 1 species
GUGAGGAAUUUUCCGCAAUGGGCGAAAGCCUGACGGAGCAAUGCCGCGUGAAGGAUGAAGGCCUAUGGGUUGUAAACUUCUUUUCUCAGAAAAGAAUUAUGACGGUAUCUGAGGAAUAAGCAUCGGCUAACUCUGUGCCAGCAGCCGCGGUAAGACAGAGGAUGCAAGCGUUAUCCGGAAUGAUUGGGCGUAAAGCGUCUGUAGGUUGUUUAAAAAGUAUUCUGUCAAAGAUUAGGGCUUAACCCUAGAUAGGCAGAAUAAACUUUUAAGCUAGAGUUUGGUAGAGGCAGAGGGAAUUCCCGGUGGAGCGGUGAAAUGCGUAGAUAUCGGGAGGAACACCAAAGGCGAAGGCACGCUGCUGGGCCAAUACUAACACUGAGAGACGAAAGCGAGGGGAGCAAAUGGGAUUAGAUACCCGGGUAGUCC